GUGGGGAAUCUUCCGCAAUGGACGAAAGUCUGACGGAGCAACGCCGCGUGAGUGAUGAAGGUCUUCGGAUUGUAAAGCUCUGUUAAUCGGGACGAAAGAGCCUAGUGUGAAUAAUGCUAGGAAGUGACGGUACCGGAAUAGAAAGCCACGGCUAACUACGUGCCAGCAGCCGCGGUAAUACGUAGGUGGCAAGCGUUGUCCGGAAUUAUUGGGCGUAAAGCGCGCGCAGGCGGAUCUGCCAGACUGUCUUAAAAGUUCGGGGCUUAACCCCGUGAUGGGAUGUACACUACAGAUCUAGAGUAUCGGAGAGGAAAGUGGAAUUCCUAGUGUAGCGGUGAAAUGCGUAGAUAUUAGGAAGAACACCAGUGGCGAAGGCGACUUUCUGGACGAGAACUGACGCUGAGGCGCGAAAGCCAGGGGAGCGAACGGGAUUAGAUACCCUGGUAGUCC
rnacentral:rRNA from 1 species